GGCUGCCAGUGAGAGAUGGGGUGGCAACAGCUGCAAGGUGGACAUUGAGCAGCUAGAUCCCCGCGGCCGGACUCCCCUGCACCUGGCCACCACGCUGGGGCACCUUGAGUGUGCCCGUGUGCUCCUGGCACACGGUGCAGACGUGGGCAGGGAGAAUCGCAGCGGCUGGACAGGUGGGCAGCCCUGCUCACCCCAGCCCCACAGCCGGGGCCUCCCCAGCAUCAUAGACCUAUGGUUGGCUGAAGGGUCCUGCCCUGUGACCUUGCCUCCCCCUCCCCCAGUGCUCCAGGAGGCUGUGAGUACCCGGGACCUGGAGCUGGUGCAGCUGGUGCUUCGGUACCGGGACUACCAACGGGUGGUGAAGCGGCUGGCGGGCAUCCCCGUGCUCCUGGAGAAGCUGCGCAAGGCCCAGGACUUCUACGUGGAGAUGAAAUGGGAGUUCACUAGCUGGGUGCCCCUGGUGUCCAAGAUCUGCCCUAGUGACACCUACAAAGUGUGGAAGAGCGGCCAGAACCUGAGGGUAGACACCACACUCCUGGGCUUUGACCACAUGACCUG
rnacentral:sRNA from 1 species